rnacentral:rRNA from 1 species
GAAGGCUUGACCUCAAAUCCAGGUAGGCUACCCUUCUGAACUUAAGCAUAUCAUAGCCGGAAG